ensembl:misc_RNA 7SK 7SK RNA
GGGAAGGAGAGAAUCUGUCUGACACAUCUAUCACCCCACCGAUUGUCAGGAUUGAUUUGGCUGAUCUUUAGGUUAGGUGGGUGUCCACUUCCUCUUUCACCACUCAUGAACAUCUUACCAAAGCUUCAUGUUAGGUGGAAGAGGAUGAACUUUUCCUGAGAGACAGACACUUCCUCAGUCAAUGGCAAACAAGUAGCUGUCCUCCUUGCUAGACCUUCCAAGAGUUCUCAAGAAGCCCUUUCCCUCUUCUCUUGCUAGGUUACUUGACUACCUGUUUCUGAGG